rnacentral:rRNA from 1 species
UACAUGGGGUGCAAACGUUGCUCGGAAUUAUUGGGCGUAAAGCGCACGUAGGCGGCUUUGCAAGUCGGGUGUGAAAGCCCUCAGCUUAACUGAGGAAGUGCAUCCGAAACUGGCAGGCUAGAGUACCAAAGAGGGUCGCGGAAUUCCCGGUGUAGAGGUGAAAUUCGUAGAUAUCGGGAGGAACACCGGUGGCGAAGGCGGCGACCUGGGUGGAUACUGACGCUGAGGUGCGAAAGCGUGGGGAGCAAACAGG